CAGUAGCCGCGGGAAUACGGAGGAUCCAAGCGUUAUCCGGAAUCAUUGGGUUUAAAGGGUCCGUAGGCGGUCUUGUAAGUCAGUGGUGAAAGCCCAUCGCUCAACGGUGGAACGGCCAUUGAUACUGCAGGACUUGAAUUAUUGGGAAGUAACUAGAAUAUGUAGUGUAGCGGUGAAAUGCUUAGAGAUUACAUGGAAUACCAAUUGCGAAGGCAGGUUACUACCAAUUGAUUGACGCUGAUGGACGAAAGCGUGGGUAGCGAAUAGGAUUAGAUCCCCCGUAGUCCCUGUCUCUUAUACC
rnacentral:rRNA from 1 species